rnacentral:rRNA from 1 species
CAGUAGCCACGGUAAUACGAAGGGUGCAAGCGUUAAUCGGAAUUACUGGGCGUAAAGGGUGCGUAGGUGGUGGUUUAAGUCCGUUGUGAAAGCCCUGGGCUCAACCUGGGAAUUGCAGUGGAUACUGGGUCACUAGAGUGUGGUAGAGGAUAGUGGAAUUUCCGGUGUAGCAGUGAAAUGCGUAGAGAUCGGAAGGAACAUCUGUGGCGAAGGCGACUAUCUGGGCCAACACUGACACUGAGGCACGAAAGCGUGGGGAGCAAACAGGAUUAGAUACCCCUGUAGUCCCUGUCUCUUAUAC